AGGCGGCCACCUCCUUUUUGUGUCAGAAUGCAGUGUUAAUUUUGGUUGGAAGACAGGGGAGGUGGCAUCCAUUUUUCCACUUAAAAGGACAACCAGGACCGCAAAAAUGAAGAGGGAGGAGACUUGAAUGAAAAGAUGACAAUUACAACCAACAUCCCUCAAUCAUUCCGCCAAAAUCCCUAAACCAAUAUACAAACAUCCUCAACCCAUAAAGUACCAAAAAUAAAUAUUAUAUAACACUACAGUAAAAAUUACAAAUCUCUUCUUUCGUCACCCACGUAGAAGCCACCAGAGGUGGAAACCUAAACGUCCCAGAAGUUAGGAAACGAGGAGGGGUCGCCGCCACCUGGAACACAAAAAAAGCCUCGUAUUAGAGGUAUAUCAUUCAAAGACAUCUCUAUUUUCGAUCAUUCACAUAUCACUCAUACUCUCGGCUCACGCAUGUGGAUGUGCUUGUUAUGCUAUGUCGUUUAAGCCACGUCUAAUCUAGUAUACUUUAAAACUAAGUAGAUAAAUAACUCAUCUUAACAUACAAUGAACUAAAUAGUCAAAUAAGUGUCCUAAAGCAAAUAAAAGUGCUGGAAAAUAAGUGAACAAAGCACUAAGUGACCUUCAAUCACUCUUUUUGCACCCUUUGGACCAAAAACUCAAGAACUAUAAGACUACUCAUAAAAAUCGAGCUAAAACAUGGGAUUUUUGUUAAAUGUUGUUGGUGGAAUUUUCUUCAAAUUGGUAAAAUGAUCAAAGUUUUCAAACAGAAAAUCGUUUUAAUAAACACUUAGAUUACCGGUUUAGUUUCAAUAGACAAAACAGUCAAGUUUUUGUAUACUUAUAGAAACUUAAUGAAAGGACAAAAUCUUCACUUUCUACCAAGCAAAAUUGGAACAAUUAGGGACUGAGUGAUUUACCUUUCGGAAGCAGUUUUUCCCUUUCCUCCUAAUUUUCUCGAGCAAAUCGGAUCUACCCAUUUUCGUACAACUAGGAAGAAUAAAAAAAAAUUAUUAGUUUUGUCAACUACUAAAUAAGGAUUAAUAAAAAAUAAUAAGGCAAGGUUUCAUUUACCUGCUCACCCUCCCUUAUUCGCCUCUCCUUAGCUCACCAGGCUCGUCGGCGAUGAGCUUUCCUUUAUUCUUUCUUGCUUUCUUCCUUUCAUUCUUCUUCGUUUUGUUUUUCUCAUCCCUCUCCGCCGACUCCUAGCCACAGAAUAAAAAACAAAACAAUAGAAGUCAGAAAAAG
rnacentral:lncRNA from 1 species